UAGGGAAUCUUCCACAAUGGACGAAAGUCUGAUGGAGCAACGCCGCGUGAGUGAAGAAGGUUUUCGGAUCGUAAAACUCUGUUGUAAGGGAAGAACACGUACGAGAGUAACUGCUCGUACCUUGACGGUACCUUAUUAGAAAGCCACGGCUAACUACGUGCCAGCAGCCGCGGUAAUACGUAGGUGGCAAGCGUUGUCCGGAAUUAUUGGGCGUAAAGCGCGCGCAGGCGGUCCUUUAAGUCUGAUGUGAAAGCCCACGGCUCAACCGUGGAGGGUCAUUGGAAACUGGGGGACUGGAGUACAGAAGAGGAAAGCGGAAUUCCACGUGUAGCGGUGAAAUGCGUAGAGAUGUGGAGGAACACCAGUGGCGAAGGCGGCUUUCUGGUCUGUAACUGACGCUGAGGCGCGAAAGCGUGGGGAGCAAACAGG
rnacentral:rRNA from 1 species